rnacentral:rRNA from 1 species
UACGGAGGAUGCGAGCGUUAUCCGGAUUUAUUGGGUUUAAAGGGUGCGCAGGCGGCACGGCAAGCCGGCGGUCAAAUCGCGGGGCUCAACCCCGCCCAGCCGUCGGAACUGCCGGGCUAGAGUGGGCGAGAAGUGCGCGGAAUGCGUGGUGUAGCGGUGAAAUGCAUAGAUAUCACGCAGAACUCCGGUUGCGAAGGCAGCGCACCGGCGCCCUACUGACGCUCAGGCACGAAAGCGUGGGUAUCGAACAGG